GGUCGGUUAGUGUAGUUGGUUAUCACAUCGGAUUCUGAUUUCAGAUCUUCUGGAGCAUCACGCCUUCCGGUAACCGGGGUUCGAAUCCCCGACUGACCU